AGCUGACUAAUGUUGCCCCUUCCCAGUACCCAACCUCCCUGAACUCCCUGCACAGCUCUUCCUGUGAUACCUCCAGAGCAUCGGCGUGCCACCGCCCUGCUCGUAAGUCACCCCUUUCCCAGUGCCCCCGUAUCUUUCCCCCUCGCCCUCCCCAUAGUCCUUCUUACUAGUCCCCUGUACUCUAGUCCCCACCCCCUUUCCAGCCACCCACAACCAGACCUGACGGAUUACAAAUCUCACCCUGGAGAGAUGGUUUCCCUCCUACUGGGGCAGUUCUCAGGCAACUGAGAAUUGCCAGGAGUGUGGAUUCCCAGCAGCGACCUGGCGGACACAGGGAAUCCAACACCAUGGCAAGCGAGCAUUCGGCCUGGCCUGCGCCUUUCCUCUCCUGCCUGGGCCACCAGCCUGCACAAGCUCUGCAUUUGAACUGGCUUCUCCAGAGAACUUGGGCUGUGACUACAGAGCGAACUGCAGGACCAGGGGCAAAGAAGGUGGAGGAGUGAAGAUCUGUUAUCAAGGAGGGAAGUGAUUGGCCAACGUGAGGUCCAGUUCUGUUUAUUAUCUUUUGGGUCUGCCACCUGAUGGCAAGUCUUUUUCCUGGCAUUAUCCAGAGGCGGUUCUAGUAACGAGGCUGGGUUCGGAGAGGGCAGAGCGGUAUCAUAAGAACGCUGUUGCCUGGUGACGGAGUGGGGCACCGUUGCCUGGAGAUGCAGGCAACGGUAAGAGGACGCUGAGAGAGCGCAGGACCCACCCUCAUCCUCACCCCCACCCAGCAGCUCCAAGGCCAUGGUGGGACACCCGCAGGAGAGGGUGGCCACAGAUGAGGUCCGUCAGAACCAGAUCUUGUGGGAGCUGUACGUCAAAGAGUUACGAACCCAGAAACUCUACACGCAGUGCCACUUGAAUCCCCUGCGUAAGGUUCACAAGAUUAACCAGGAAGCCCAUGUCUUGGCAUAAUAACCUGGAGGAACCUGCAGAUGCCAGGUUUCUGAAUCUCAUUCACCAUGCUGCCCAGGGGCCAAAGAAGUGCCUGGAGGCACAGACUGAAAACCAGGAAAUUGGAUGGGACUCAGAGUCCUUGGUCGACCGAGAAUGCAGCAACCACAGGCUGAACCACUUCAGGGUAUACAACGACAUCACUCUGUACAAAGCUAAAACGUGGAGCUUGGGAGAAGAUGAUCCCCACAAGUAGCAUCUCAGCGGUGGAGUCAGUCCCUGGAUUUAAUGUCCUAAGUAUCCACUGCAGUAUAAAAGUAAAUAUUAUUUUAACCCCCAAACCCUGUCCAUAAUUCAUGGAUAAUGGCAGAAAUUAGGAAGCAUGAAAAAUAUGCAGAAGAAGGAAAUAAAAAUUGCCAGUCACAAAAGAUCACAGAUUUUAUUUUUGUUUAUGUGAAAUUUCCAGAAAAAGCAAUAUAUAUAGAGAGACAGAAAGUAGAUUAGUGGGGCUUAGAGGUUGGUGAGUUGGGAGAAGAUGGGGAAUGACUGCUAAUGAGUAUGGGGC